UACAGAGGGGGCGAGCGUUGUUCGGAAUUACUGGGCGUAAAGGGCGCGUAGGCGGCCUUCUAAGUCGAACGUGAAAUCCCCGGGCUCAACCCGGGAACUGCGUCCGAUACUGGGAGGCUUGAAUCCGGGAGAGGGAUGUGGAAUUCCAGGUGUAGCGGUGAAAUGCGUAGAUAUCGGAAGGAACACCGGUGGCGAAAGCGGCGCGCUGGAUCUCUUCUGACGCUGAUGCGCGAAAGCCAGGGGAGCAAACGGG
rnacentral:rRNA from 1 species